UGAGGAAUAUUGGACAAUGGAGGAAACUCUGAUCCAGCCAUGCCGCGUGAGUGAAGAAGGCCUUAGGGUUGUAAAGCUCUUUCAGAUGUGAAGAUAAUGACGGUAGCAUCAGAAGAAGCCCCGGCUAAAUUCGUGCCAGCAGCCGCGGUAAUACGAAUGGGGCAAGCGUUGUUCGGAAUCACUGGGCUUAAAGCGUGCGUAGGCGGACUGGAAAGUCAGGAGUGAAAUCCCGGGGCUCAACCUCGGAACUGCUUCUGAAACUUCCCGUCUAGAAUCCGGGAGAGGUUAGUGGAAUUCCUAGUGUAGAGGUGAAAUUCGCAGAUAUUAGGAGGAACACCAGUGGCGAAGGCGACUAACUGGACCGGUAUUGACGCUGAGGUACGAAAGCGUGGGGAUCAAA
rnacentral:rRNA from 1 species